CCACUUACAUUUCCUUAUCACUUUUCCAGCCCAGCUGCACACAGAUGUGUUGGACGGAGAACUGAUAAGGGCUUGUUUCUGG
rnacentral:pre_miRNA from 13 species